AACGAACGCUGGCGGCAUGCCUAACACAUGCAAGUCGAACGAGACCUUCGGGUUUAGUGGCGCACGGGUGCGUAACACGUGGGAAUCUGCCCUUUGCUUCGGAAUAACAGUUAGAAAUGACUGGUAAUACCGGAGGAUGUCGAAAGACCAAAGAUUUAUCGGCAAAGGGUGAGCGCGCGUAGGAUAAGGGAGUUGGGGGGGUAAAGGCCUACAAAGCCGACGAUCCUUAGCGGGUCUGAGAGGAUGAUCAGACACACUGGGACUGAGACACGGCCCAGACUCCUACGGGAGGCAGCAGUGGGGAAUAUUGGACAAUGGGCGAGCGCCUGAUCCAGCAAUGCCGCGUGAGUGAUGAAGGCAUGAGGGUUGUAAAUCUCUUUUACCAGGGAAGAUAAUGACGGUACCUGGAGAAUAAGCUCCGGCUAACUCCGUG
rnacentral:rRNA from 1 species